rnacentral:rRNA from 1 species
GACGAACGCUGGCGGCGUGCUUAACACAUGCAAGUCGAACGGUGAACUCCGCUUGCGGGGGGAUCAGUGGCGAACGGGUGAGUAACACGUGGGCAACCUGCCCUCAGCUCUGGGAUAACUCCAAGAAAUUGGGGCUAAUACCGGAUAUGACCGCUGACCGCAUGGUCUGGUGGCGGAAAGAUUUAUCGGCUGGGGAUGGGCCCGCGGCCUAUCAGCUUGUUGGUGGGGUAGUGGCCUACCAAGGCGACGACGGGUAGCCGGCCUGAGAGGGUGACCGGCCACACUGGGACUGAGACACGGCCCAGACUCCUACGGGCGGCAGCAGUGGGGAAUAUUGCGCAAUGGGCGAAAGCCUGACGCAGCGACGCCGCGUGGGGGAUGACGGCCUUCGGAUUGUAAACCUCUUUCAGCAGGGACGAAGCGAAAGUGACGGUACCUGCAGAAGAAGCCCCGGCCAACUACGUG